CAAUUACAACAUCCAGUAAGGAAUUUUUCGUGAGUUUAUUGGAAAACUGGUUUUAAAGUUAUUUGCGUUUUGAGCUUUCAUAUCUAUAUAAUAAAUUAUACGUAUUUUUAUCGUGUUUCUGGGUAUUGCUUGGAAGAUUUUUCGGAUUACGGAAGAAGACUCUUGUGAGAAAUGGACUCCGUCAACCGACUUAUUACGGACAGGACUUCGUCUUAUUUGAAAGAAUUACCAGUUCCAAAAUCAUUUGGGGGUUUUGCGGAGCUUAAACUUGGCGAAUGGGUGCGUCUUGCAGCGUUUACUGGCGCUGUAGGUUUUGCUGGAUUCGUAGCUGUUCGAGGAGUCUUUACAUUGCUACCGGAGGAUUUUCUGAGCAAACUCCCAUGCCGGCUAACCCGCGGAAAAUAUCGCUGGAUGAAUAAAUGUAUUGAGAAAGAACGACCAAAAUGCAACCAUGUUAUUGAUAUUGAAGAUAUUGGCAAGAAAGCGUCGUUGUGCCGCUGCUGGAGAUCCGCAAAGUUCCCAUACUGCGACGGAGCACACAAGCAGUACAACAGGGAGACCGGUGACAAUGUGGGACCGAUUAAUGUUGUACGAAAGACGACAGUCUGAAGGAAAUUUACGAUUCCUCAUCCCGAGACAUUCCGUUGAAUGCGGUUCUGUGCUCCUUUGUGACGAUGCACUGUGAUCAAGCAUUCUGAUCCUACUGCGAAUCCGUCGUCUCCGUGUUGACUUCCGGAAUUUCUUCUCCAUGUGAUAUUGAGAUCAUCGUCAUCCAAGAGGAUCAGACCUGCGCGCUCCCGUUUGCUAAACAAAACAUAAUUUUCAAUUACUGUAUUAUGCAUAUUACCGAUAGGCGAUAGCCGAUCGGCAAGAUUGAAAGCUGAUAAAGACCGACAAAUGGUUAGAUACGCAAAAGAAUUUAGUACUUGUUUUGCCACACUGGUAAAUUCCAUGUAAAUGUGUUUACGUAUUUGCAAAUUUUCCGUAUUGCAAAUUUGCGUAUUAACGGAAUGCCUAUAUGCUGCUUCACGUACAAUAAGUUUUUCUGUUGAUAC